rnacentral:lncRNA from 1 species
GUCUUUUACAACACACACAACUAUGGUGAGAGGUGCUAUGCAAAGACAGAUGAGUGAGGUGGUAUCAUGGGGUGAUUUACAUGUCACAGAGACCACAGGAUGGAAGUGUCCCUCCUCACCAUCUUCCUACUGUCUUCCAUUUUGCCCUGUGAUAUAGGCACUAGCAUGAAAAGAAACAAAAUCUGCCUGAUCUCAGCACUCUGAGAGUGGAGGCAGCUUAAGCUCAGAUUGGGAAAAUUAGCAAGAACCUGUCUCAAAAAAAUAAACAAAGCUGAGAUUUAACUCAAUAUGAAGGCUCUGAAUUUAAUCCCCAGUAGCACAAAAACAAGACAAAAC